rnacentral:rRNA from 1 species
UAACAUGAGAGUUUGAUCCUGGCUCAGGAUGAACGCUGGCGGCGUGCUUAACACAUGCAAGUCGAACGGAC